GCCUUUCGGGGUGAGCGGCGGACGGGUUAGUAACGCGUGGGAACAUACCCUUUGGUACGGAAUAGCCUCUGGAAACGGAGAGUAAUACCGUAUGAGCCCUUCGGGGGAAAGAUUUAUCGCCAAAGGAUUGGCCCGCGUUAGAUUAGGUAGUUGGUGGGGUAAUGGCCUACCAAGCCUACGAUCUAUAGCUGGUUUUAGAGGAUGAUCAGCAACACUGGGACUGAGACACGGCCCAGACUCCUACGGGAGGCAGCAGUGGGGAAUCUUGGACAAUGGGGGCAACCCUGAUCCAGCCAUGCCGCGUGAGUGAUGAAGGCCUUAGGGUCGUAAAGCUCUUUCGCCUGUGAAGAUAAUGACGGUAGCAGGUAAAGAAACCCCGGCUAACUCCGUGCCAGCAGCCGCGGUAAUACGGAGGGGGUUAGCGUUGUUCGGAAUUACUGGGCGUAAAGCGCACGUAGGCGGACUGGAAAGUUGGGGGUGAAAUCCCAGGGCUCAACCCUGGAACUGCCUCCAAAACUAUCAGUCUAGAGUUCGAGAGAGGUGAGUGGAAUUCCGAGUGUAGAGGUGAAAUUCGUAGAUAUUCGGAGGAACACCAGUGGCGAAGGCGGCUCACUGGCUCGAUACUGACGCUGAGGUGCGAAAGUGUGGGGAGCAAACAGGAUUAGAUACCCUGGUAGUCCACACCGUAAACGAUGAAUGCCAGUCGUCGGGUAGCAUGCUAUUCGGUGACACACCUAACGGAUUAAGCAUUCCGCCUGGGGAGUACGGUCGCAAGAUUAAAACUCAAAGGAAUUGACGG
rnacentral:rRNA from 1 species